rnacentral:misc_RNA from 1 species
GCCGAUCAGCUGAUCUUCUAUGAUUUGCAUGAUUGUUUAUUUUUAACUAACUGAGAAGAUGUAAGGACGUGUCAAACUGAAUUUAACAAGUAAAAUGAUAUUUUGUUCAAUUACUUGGGUAAAAUAUUAAUCGUGAAAUUUAGUACUGUGUAUAUACAAAUUCAUAAAGUGUUUCGAUUUCAUUCUGCAUCGAUACACACACAAUUGUGCACAAUUGCACAAUACACAAGUGUCUAUUUGUACGUGUCAGAGAUCACACCAAAAGUAACACGUAUAUUUUAAAUGAGAUGGCUGUUUUAUUGGCAUCGUUACCUAGCGCAAAAAGGACCACGCAAAUCAGAAAUUUGCGGCAAGGCAGUGUUAUAGAUCUGGAUGCUGAUACGUUUCUCAAGAUAUCCAAUUAUGAGGACACUGUUAAACAAUUGGACAUAUACUAUGGAAUAGUCAAGAGACAAUUAUUGCGUUAUCAGAGUUGCAUAACGGGUCUAUUUCCGCAGAUCACAACUGACAAAAAGGUUGGUAGCGUACGCGAAAGUAUAUAUUGCGCUGCUGCGAUAUGGAGUCUGUAUCAAGCGUACAGGCGCAUCGACGACGACCGUGGGAAGUCGUACGAACUUGGGCAGUCCGCGAUCAAAUGUAUGCGAGGUAUUCUGGAGUGUUGGGUAAAACAGUCCUCUAGAGUGGAACUCUUUAAGAGAAAUCAGUGCGAUCGUUUUGCAUUGCAUUGCAAGUUUCAUUUGGAGACAGGCGAUGAAAUUUACAAGGAUGCUGACUAUCAUCACUUGCAAAUCGAUGUUGUGUCCCUUUAUUUAAUAUUUCUGGUGCAAAUGAUCUCUUCUGGCUUGCAAAUUGUGUACACGCAAGACGAAGUGGCAUUUGUACAGAAUUUGGUGUACUAUGUCGAGAGAGCUUAUCGUACACCAGAUUAUGGUAUGUGGGAACGUGGAAGCCGAUAUAACGAUGGGACGCCUGAGAUCCAUGCCAGCUCCAUCGGAAUUGCCAAGAGUGCAUUGGAGGCGAUUAAUGGCUGUAACUUGUUUGGAGAGAAAGGUGCCUCCUGGUCAGUGAUAUAUGUCGAUAUCGAUGCUCACAAUCGUAAUCGCAGUAUCUUUGAGACUAUGCUUCCAAGAGAAUCUAGCUCUAAAAGUGUGGAUGCAGCCUUACUGCCAACAAUAUCCUUUCCCGCCUUUGCAACUCACGAGGAGGUGCUGUACAACGAGACUAAGGCGAACAUAAUCCGUAGGUUGAAAGGCAAUUAUGGCUUUAAACGAUUCGGAAGGGAUGGUUACAAAACGGUGUUGGAAGAUAAACAUCGACGGUAUUACAAAUCUGGAGAAAUCAAGGAUUUUGACAGUGUCGAGAACGAAUGGCCAUUAUUCUACAUCUUCAUGAUAAUAGACGGUGUAUUCAAGAGUCUACCGGAGCAAGUAGAGGAAUAUCAAAAUUUAUUGAAAACCAAAGUGUACAAGGAUCAAAAUGGAGAUCCGGUGAUUCCCAUGUAUUAUUACGUACCGGAAGAGUAUUUGGAAACUGAGAGAAACGAGCCGUGCAGUGUUAAUCGGCUGCCUAGCGACGAAGGGAGAGGCUACAGAGGAGCCGUGGAUCACGAAUCCACGUCGAUGUAUCUGUGGAAUCAGGCUAUGUUUGUAAUCGCGCAGCUACUUACCGCUGGUCUUUUGCAUAUCAACGAAUUGGAUCCGAUCCGUCGAUACCUACCGUCGUAUAAUCGUCCGAGACGUGCGGGACGAUAUUCCGCUUUUCAAGCAAAACCGAGUAUUGGCACUCACACCGACCUAGUGGUACAAAUAGUUUUAAUCGCAGAAUCCAUGCGACUGCAAGCUAUGAUGGCCACGUACGGCAUCCAAACACAAACACCGCACGAAGUCGAGCCUGUUCAGAUUCUAUCGUCUACCCAACUGGUGAAAGUAUACCAAAAACUAGGUGUCAAUAACAAAUUGAAUCUUCAAGGACGACCUGCGCGACCUAUAGGUUCUCUAGGUACAAGCAAGGUGUACAGAGUCUGCGGUAUGACGGUGCUUUGUUACCCUCUUAUUUUCGAAGUCUCCGAGUUUUAUCUGUACAGAGACAUGGCUUUGCUGAUUGAUGAUAUAAAAACGGAGCUGCAAUUCGUAGGCAAGUACUGGCGUCUUUCCGGUCGACCUACUGUGUGUCUUUUAAUACGGGAGGAACACAUGCGAUGUUGGACCUUUUCGCGAUGCUGAAGAAAGGCUACUGCGACAAGACAAAAGUACGCAUCGGCAGACUGCAAAAUCUAAUUUCAUCUUCUUGCAUUGAGCAUUUGGAUUUUGUGAAUACCAUGGAAACGGAUUUGGACCUGGCACAGUUUAAACAGCUGCAGCACGAUUAUAUAGGCUA